GGGGGUGUAGUUCAGAUGGUAGAAUAUAUGCCUUGCACGCAUCAGGUCAUCGGUUCAAAUCCGAUCACCUCCA